AUUUGGAGACAUCAAAGGCAGGGCUUACUUUGUAUCAUUGGAUUCACGUGUGCAGGGCAGAGCAGUUCCAGUCUGUGUCACGUCCUUUGUCUCGUCCAUGUUUUGUGUCCUUUGUCUCUUAAUUGUGUCACGUGGUGUGUGUCGUCACGGGUAUGGGGUGUCUCACUUGGGGUCAGCCUGGAACUGCUCUGCCCUGCUACAUGGAUCAGUGGGUAGAUAGAAUAUUGCUCAGUCUCACAUCAAUCAACAUAUCAGUUACCUUAGGCAGUCGAGCCGAUGGCUGUACGGUCCUGCCGGAUGGAGCAGGUGUCCAUAGCUCGUGUGCAAUCAUUAUAGCUGAGUGUUGUAGAGCUGAUGGUACUUGGAUACCAGGGCCUCGAAGCUGGGUUGUCAUUUGUAUUCUUGUAUGCUGCGGUCAGAGUUCUCACUCGCUCAGUGGAAAUGAGUUCUUUGAAGUGGUUCAGGUCUCAGUGACCAUGUGGGUGACCUGACUAACCCUCUGUUUUUUGUUGUUUUUUUUUCAGAUAAGUGGACACAGUGUACCCCAGACAGAGACAAGUUGAAGCAGGCUGGGAAGAAGAUGGGGCCCAAUCAGUCUCAAGGGGUAGCGACUCAGCAGGGAGACGAGCGAGGCAAUACACAACCCUUUGCCCAUCUGCUGAAGGUGUCAAAGGUCCAUCUGAUAAGAGGUCAAGCUAAAGGAGCCCGAGACAGCCAGUCUGAGGCAGUACGUCAGCACAAGCCUCCACGUCCGUGUUUUCUUGCAGCGACCGUCUGUCCACUUCACAGUGUGUAACAACGCUUCGGUGUGCAGUCUGAUGGGGUUUAGAGGUUUUUGGCUUUCCUUGUGAACCAUCCCUAAAUGUUUGAGAGCUCAGUGUUUGAGCAUUUACCCAUUUCAUUUGCAGGGACGGUCUUGGGAGCAGCUGAAGAGAGAGGAGCCUUCUAGGUAUCCUGGAAGGUGACAGCCACAGUGUCUGACUCUGGUCAGGGCCUUGGUGAUGGUGAGUAGGGGGAUCACUGGGGUUCGAGCCCCAUGCCACACUACUCAGAUAUUGCGUAUGAUUUUCUUUCUCACAGUUGACUCCGAGUACUCUCACGAGGACAGGAACCUCUGAGCCAGCCCAAGUGCCCCUCCUCUGCAUCAAAAAUGGAUUCACAUCCCCAGC